rnacentral:tRNA from 1 species
AGCAGUGUGGCUCAGUGGAAAGAGCACAGGCUUGGGAGCCAGAGUCAUGGGUUCUAUUCCCAGCUCUGCCG